AAUAGAUACCCCGGUAGUCCACGCCGUAAACGAUGAGUGCUAAGUGUUAGGGGGUUUCCGCCCCUUAGUGCUGCAGCUAACGCAUUAAGCACUCCGCCUGGGGAGUACGGUCGCAAGACUGAAACUCAAAGGAAUUGACGGGGGCCCGCACAAGCGGUGGAGCAUGUGGUUUAAUUCGAAGCAACGCGAAGAACCUUACCAGGUCUUGACAUCCCGCUGACCGCUCUAGAGAUAGAGUUUUCCCUUCGGGGACAGCGGUGACAGGUGGUGCAUGGUUGUCGUCAGCUCGUGUCGUGAGAUGUUGGGUUAAGUCCCGCAACGAGCGCAACCCUUGAUCUUAGUUGCCAGCAUUCAGUUGGGCACUCUAAGGUGACUGCCGGUGAUAAACCGGAGGAAGGUGGGGAUGACGUCAAAUCAUCAUGCCCCUUAUGACCUGGGCUACACACGUGCUACAAUGGACGGUACAGAGGGUCGCAACCCCGCGAGGGUGAGCAAAUCCCAUAAAACCGUUCUCAGUUCGGAUUGUAGG
rnacentral:rRNA from 1 species